rnacentral:sRNA from 1 species
UUGCCUUGGUCAUGGUGUCUCUUGACAGCAACAGAAGCCCCAACUAAGACAGUAACCCAGGCAGCCAUUGAACUCAGUUCUCCUACUGCAGCUUCCUGAGGAGCAGGGAUUACAGGACUGCACCCUCAGGCCUGGCUGCAAUUUGUUUUCAGUUUUCUUUGUUCUUGACACUUCUGCUACUUCAUCUCUAGGCUCUGUGUGAUUAAUGUUAUUCACCCCUUCCUUCCGUACUUCCGUUAGUUGAGACCUUUUUAUCUUGGCAGGCAAUUGCCACAAGCAUCUAAGGAGUGGUCGAGUGGGCUGAGAAAUGAUCAGAGGCCCAAGGCUGCUGCUGUAGGUGAUCUUAGUUCUGUCUCCCUCUGAGCUUUAGGUUUUCCAUUCAAGCCCAUAAAUGCCACACCCAGGGCAUUCCAGCUGAGCUCUCUGUAGCUGAGCCAGAAUCUUUAGACAACCGGGGUGGGGGUGGGAGGAAUGCGCUGAAGGAGCAAGACCUCCAUGCUGUCGUCCUGUGGAACUCACCCCACUACCCUCAGAUGGGGCUACCAUCCCCAGUACAGGAAUGGGUGGCCCUGGGCCAUGAGAACUGUGAGUGGAAACUGAAGCCUGAUUCCUAUCUUCCUGUCCCUACAGAGUAGGGAAUGACUCAAGAAUGAGCCAGCAUUGAGGAUGCAUUUGUCAAGGCGAGAGAGGCACGCACGAUCACUGAGCAUGGCUUGAGAUUUCCACCUUAUAAAGGAAUGUCUCUGCCCUCCCAGGAGAUGAGUUGAGAGAUGCUCAACUUUAGAAAAUCCUCCCCUAAUUCCACAAAUGACAAACCCAGACUACUGUUUGCCAGUCAGCUCUCAGAAUAUUUAUGAGAGUACCACGCUUCUCAUGUUGCAAAGAAGGCCAAUUCAAAAUACUCAUGACUCUUCAGAUUAUUGAUGCUUGACCAGCAAGGUUACAAUGAGGGCUGGAGAUCCAACUCAGCUUCACCAGUGCUGGUCUAGUACUCUACCACUGAACUAUACUCCCAGCCUUCUACAGUGAUUCAUAGGAAGAGUUGUUUUCUACCAAAUUCAUGUUUAUUACAUAUAUGUUUAAAACA